rnacentral:piRNA from 1 species
GGUACUGUAGCCCUACACGAGGA